AUCCUAGCAGCCAAGAUGGUGAAGCAGAUCAACAGCAAGGUUGCUUUUUAGGAAGCCCUGGACACUGCAGGCAAUAAACUUGUAGUAGCUGACUUCUCAGCCAGGUGGGGUGGGCCUUGAAAAAUGAUCGAGCUUUGUUUUCAUUCCCUCUCUGAAAAGUAUCCAACGUGGUAUUCCUUGAAGUAGAUGUGGAUGCCUGUCAGGAUGUCGCUUCAGAGUACGAAGUCAAACGCAUGCCAACAUUCCAGUUUUUUAAGAAGGGACAAAAGGUGGGUGGAUUUUCUGGAGCCAACAAGGAAAAGCUUGAAGCCACCAUUAAUGAAUUAGUCUAAGCAUGUUUUCUGAAAAUAUAACCAGCAUUGGCUAUUUAAAACUUGUCUUUUUUUUGAUUUACAAAAAAUACAAAGACUAUAAAUCCAAUUGCCAUCUGGGUGACAAUAAAUCAUUAAUUCUAACACUU